AUUGAACGCUGGCGGCAUGCUUUACACAUGCAAGUCGAACGGUAACAGGCCGCAAGGUGCUGACGAGUGGCGAACGGGUGAGUAAUGCAUCGGAACGUGCCCAGUCGUGGGGGAUAACUACUCGAAAGAGUAGCUAAUACCGCAUACGAUCUAUGGAUGAAAGCGGGGGACCGUAAGGCCUCGCGCGAUUGGAGCGGCCGAUGUCAGAUUAGGUAGUUGGUGGGGUAAAGGCUCACCAAGCCAACGAUCUGUAGCUGGUCUGAGAGGACGACCCGCCACACGGGGACUGGGCCACGCCCCAGCCUCCGGGGGGAGGCGGCAGGGGGAAUUUUGGGACAAUGGGCGCAGGCCUGAUCCAGAAAUGCCGCGGGCAGGAAGAGGGCCUUCGGGUUGUAAACUGCUUUUGUACGGAACGAACCGGCUCUGGUUAAUCCCCGGGGUUAAUGACGGUACCGUAAGAAUAAGCCCCGGCUAACUACGUG
rnacentral:rRNA from 1 species